CGGGCGGCUAGCUCAGUGGAAGAGCGCURGCCUCACACGCGAGAGGUCGUAGGUUCAAGUCCUACGCCGCCCACC
rnacentral:tRNA from 1 species